UUUUUCUUUUCCUUUUCUCCUUUCUUUCGAUUUAAGAUCCAUCCAAACAGAGCCUAAGAAUACUUCUGGUCAAAAUCGUACACACAUAAAACCCACCACCACAACCAACCAGAACUUCCUCUUCCUCCUCCCUCUCCUCCGUCGUCCUCCUCCAUUCAAAAACCCUACAAGUAUGGAGUCGAGUUCGGAGUUGGUGAGAUCGAUUGAAUCGGCGUUAGGA
rnacentral:lncRNA from 1 species